CGGCGGUGUCGGUGCUGGUGCCGGUGCCGUUGUCUGUCAGUGUCGUUCUGUCCUGGUUGCACACGGCAGCGGCUCUGCCCGCUCCGGUUCCGGCGGUGUCGGGGUCUGGAGGGGUAUUCCGGUGUCGGUCCCGGUGCAGUCGCAGCCCCAGCAGCGGCUCUGCCCGCUCCGGUCCCGGCGGUGGCGGCAGCGCCGUGUCCUGCUCGGGCAGGGCGGGGCGGGGCGGGACCGGGGGCACCGGCGGGACCGGGACACCAAGGGGGUGGCAGAACAAAUGGGGCAGCGGGGGCGAGGGUGGCGGAGAUGGGGUGCCACCGCUGGGAGACGGGGACAAGGGACUGGGGUGGGGAGCGGGACAAGGGACGGGGACAGGGAGGGGGCCAGCCCGGGGUCACCCGGGGCCGGGUGUAAAACUGACACCGCGGAGCAGAAAUGUCAGGGCAGGCCCCGGGAGCUAUUCGCGACCUCCCCGCACGACAUGGAAUGGGACACAGGGAAUGGCAUGGCAUGGCAAGGCAUGGCACAGCCAGUGUGGACAGGGAACAGCCAUGACCCCAUCCCUGCCACUGCCUCCGUCCACGAGCGGUGGCACAAAUGUGUCACCCUCCCGCGUGUCCCCAGUGGGGACACGCCCUUCGGUGUGUCCCUCGGACCUCAGAGUGGUAACAAUCUCCCGGCAACCGCCCAGUGCUGCUCCCGACGGUGUCCCCAGAGUCCCCGGGUGGGGAUAUACCUGGGCUCUACCAAGCAUCCUGUCCCCUCGUGUCCUCCCGUGUCCCCAGGCUGUCCCUGCAUUCCCAGGACUGGGAUACAGAUCCUCGGUUCCCUCUGUGUCCCCUCCUGUCCCCUCGCAGUCCCGGGAACCUCUGUCUAUCCUGAGGCUGUUGCCCUCCCUCUCCCUCUCUAUCCCUGUGCCCCCAGGCCCAGGAUACGAGUCCAUGUGCCCCGUGUCCCCUUGCCCGAGCUCUAUCCCUUGCCCGGCGUGUCCAUCUUGCCCAGGAUGUCCCCUUUCCCAGGAUGUCGCCUUUCCCAGGAUGUCGCCUUUCCCAGGAUGUCCCCUUUCCCGGGACGUCCUCCGUUCCAGGGAAGUCCCUCUGCCCGGCACGUUCUCCUUUACAGGAAAGGUUCUUUGCCCGCGGUGUCCCCUUGCCCGGGAAUAUCCCGUUGCCGCGGUAUCCCCUUUCCCAGGACACGUCCCUUUGCCCGGGAUGUUCCUCUGCCUCGGGUGUCACCUUUCCCCUGCUCGGAAUGUCCCCCUACGGAGCGUGUCCCCUCCCCACGGCUGUCCCCGUGCCUCUGUGACACCGCCGCGGCUCCCUGCUGCCGCUGCCCCCG
rnacentral:lncRNA from 1 species